CCGAUCCAACAUACACAUAUCCGUACCGUCGUGGUACCUGAUCCAAUAUAUGCAUAUCCAUAUCGGCGUGGUACCCGAUCCAUCAUAUACAUACAAAUCCAUACUGGCGUGGUACCCGAUCCAACAUACACAUAUCCGUACCGACAUGGUACUCGAUCCAACAUACACAUAUCCGUACUGGCGUGGUACCCGAUCCAAUAUGUACAUAUCCGUACCGACG
rnacentral:lncRNA from 1 species